AGGAGCUGGUCAUAACGUCACGGAGAUCCGUGAAGUAGCUGCAGAAUAGUGUCACUGGGAACGAGAGCAGAAUCUGACCCUGUUUGUUGGAGAGGAAACUGGGAGUGCUGAGCCCAGAGAGCAAGGAGAGCCCCAGAAGAGGAGGAUUUGGAAGCUGCGUGGCUGGCUAGAAUGCAUCAGCUGAGCCUUUCCUGCUCUCAGCUCCCUGGAAAAUUCUGAGCAUGGCCUUUGCUGUGUGCUGAGUGGGAGCCCCGUUUUAUCUGAUGGAGUUGACGUUUCUGUGACGGUCAUCACAAGGAUUGUAUAUUGGUUCUUCCCGUAAAAUAACUUGACAAUUCGCUUUGGAAGAGUCCUCUGGGAAAGGUGAGGCUGUGUCACAGGACAUGGGGUGAGGUAGG
rnacentral:lncRNA from 12 species